GCGAGUCAUUGUAGUAAUACAAGGCAGACGGCUCAGUAACGCGUAGUCAACCUAACCUAUGGACGGGAAUAACCUCGGGAAACUGAGUAUAAUGCCCGAUAGAACAUUAUGCCUGGAAUGGUUUAUGUUCCAAAUGAUUUAUCGCCGUAGGAUGGGACUGCGGCCUAUCAGUUUGUUGGUGAGGUAAUGGCCCACCAAGACUAUUACAGGUACGGGCUCUGAGAGGAGUAGCCCGGAGAUGGGUACUGAGACACGGACCCAGGCCCUAUGGGGCGCAGCAGGCGGGAAAACUUUGCAAUGUGCGAAAGCACGACAAGGUUAAUCCGAGUGGUUUCUGCUAAAGGAACCUUUUGUCGGUCCUAGAAACACCGAUGAAUAAGGGGUGGGCAAGUUCUGGUGUCAGCCGCCGCGGUAAAACCAGCACCUCAAGUGGUCAGGAUGAUUAUUGGGCCUAAAGCAUCCGUAGCCGGCUUUGUUAGUUUUCGGUUAAAUCUGUACGCUCAACGUACAGGCUGCCGGGAAUACUGCAGAGCUAGGGAGUGGGAGAGGUAGACGGUACUCGGUAGGAAGGGGUAAAAUCCUUUGAUCUAUUGAUGACCACCUGUGGCGAAGGCGGUCUACCAGAACACGUCCGACGGUGAGGGAUGAAAGCUGGGGGAGCAAACCGGAUUAGAUACCCGGGUAGUCCCAGCUGUAAACUAUGCAAACUCAGUGAUGCAUUGGCUUGUGGCCAAUGCAGUGCUGCAGGGAAG
rnacentral:rRNA from 1 species